rfam:Triticum urartu cultivar G1812 contig421202, whole genome shotgun sequence.
UUCCUCUGAUUUGUGGAAGGUGCUGAAAAGCUCGGUAGAGCGUGUGUUGUCAUCAGCUUCGUCUCUUGACCCUACGAGAUGGGAGUUAAAUAACGGCACGAAAUCU